UUGGUUAAAGCCAAAAAGAGGCAUAUCACUGUUAAUGAUAGAAAUGGAGCUAACUUCUAACCAAG
rnacentral:tRNA from 1 species